UCAUCUAAAUCACUUGGUUGAACCCCGCCAAGGGCGCUCCUCAGUCACAGAGGGACGCCGAAAAGCUAGAAGGAAACAGGAUGAUGCUUAUUCUUAGCUAGAUUCCACUUCUUGCUGAGCUUUUUUCCACAAAUUCCUCUUGGGAUUCACAAAUAAUUCUUCCAGCAAUUCUCACAGAGACUCUUUCAGGCAUUUAAAAAACAAAAACAAAUCGAAAAUUAUUCUGAACAUUUCUCGAAGAAUUCUUUUAGAAAUUUCUAUAGAAAGGCUUUUGUUCAGAUAUACGCCAAAGGAUUCCUCUAGAUAUUUCUCUAAAUUUUAGUAAAUAAUCAUCCACAGUUUCCUCAAGAAAUUUAUGCAUUUAUUUUUUUUUUCAAAUAAUCUUUCAGUUGGAAAUUGGAUUUUUUUUUUCAAGGAUACCUUCAGAAAUUCCUCCACAGAUUCCUUCAGAAGUUCUUCUAUGGGUUGAUACUUCUUUUUCUUAAUACUUUUUUUUCACAACUUUUCCUGUGUUUUUUCUGGAAAAUCUUCAACGAAAUUCUUUAGAAAUUUUCCGGAGUGUUCUUCGAGAAUUCUUAUAGAGAUUCCAACAAAAAAUAUUCAUCGUCGGGAAAAUACUCCGCAUUUGGUCGAGAGCACAGCGAACAGUAACGGUCAAAAUGUAGACCGAAGGAUAUUUCCAGAACGAUUCAGCUGUGAUUGAUCUUCCUUCACAAAUUCAGUAGUAUCUAAAUCCAGGAACACAGUCACACACACACACUAGUUUAUUUUCUUCUGCCUAAUUUAUUACACUUAUAAUUAGUUCAUUAACUUAUUACUAAAAUUCUAAUGAAUUCACACUGUUCAAAUAUUUCAAAUAACUGUUGAUAUAAAUGUUCUACGGGGUAUGACUGGGUUUGCGUAAAACUAGGUAUUUUUCGGCAUUCAGUCACAAAAAAGGUUUGAUUAUUUUAAAUCAUUGCCAACGUUUCGGUCCUGUGGUUGGAAUCUUCAUCAGGGCUCGAUGUGAACCAACUUGUUUCACUAUUCGUGUUGAUGACACGGCUCAAUGUCGUUAUCUGUUCUGUACCGCACUUGUUUCAUUAGACCCUAGCACCUCGAUUGAAAUGUUGGGUGGGUAUACAGUUCGAGUCAAAACACUUGGCCCUUUGGGAACACUUCUGUUCGUGCUGGCCAGGAUGGAAUUCCAAGUGUUGUGACUAGAACUGUAUAUUGUCGGGCCGCCACCAAACCGGACUUCGCACAAUCAAGUCGCGACGCGACCCAACUCGCGACGUUUUUGAAUCAUGUCAAAAGUAGUGCGCAUCCUUCCCGUUGUUGUCAGCAACACAGCGCACUAGAUGCGAAACAGCUGCGACACUUGUGGACCAAGAAAAUGGCAAUUUUUGAUUGAAUGUCUGUCUUGAUUCCAACCGGAUAGACAAUACCCACUCACCAUUUCAAUCGGGGUGCUAAGGUCCAAUCAAACAAUAGAGUUAAUAAAAUAUAGAGGGAGAAUGUCGCUGGCGUCGCUGCCACAACAUCUCUUGCUGGCAAAGAUAGGGAGGGAUAUAAGUGUCAAAGUAUGCUGUUUGACAGAUAGAUACCCGGCAUAUUUGCAAACGAGAACAAAGGGAACACCAGCGACAUUCGUCCUCUAUAGUUUCUUAACUCUAUUAAUGAAACAAUAAGGGCCGAUUUCUUCACCUCGGCUUAACUGGUAAGCCAGGCUUACCCAUAUAGUUAAACCUGGUUUAACGCUUAAGCCAGGGUGAAGAAAUCGCCCCUAAGUGCUUUGCAGAACAGAUAACGACAUUCCGCCAUGUGAUCAACACGAAUCUAAUGCCGUUUUUCUUUAUUAUCCAGUUCCAACCUGGGUUGGAACUGAAUCAGAUCACAGUUUCAACCCCAACCCGACUUCGGUUUCGCUUGUACUAAAGUUUGUUUGACGUUGUUUGUUUACACAUUUUCCGCCAAUCCAGUUCCAACCCAGGUUAAAAAAGAAAAACGGCAUAAAACAAGUUCAUUCACAUCGAACCCUGAUGAAGAUCCCAACCACAGGAUCGAAACGUUGAAAAUAAUCUAAAAUAAUCAAUGCUUUUCUGUAGAUAUAAGGAUGGCUAAGGGGUCCCCAGUUAGCCUAGUGGUUAAGGCUGUGGAUCGCCAAUCCGGAAACGGCGGGUUCGAUUCCCGUUCCGGUCGGGAAAAUUUUCUCGACUCCCUGGGCAUAGCGUAUCAUUGUACUUGCCUCACAAUAUACAAAUUCAUGCAAUGGCAGGCAAAGAAAGCCCUUUAAUUAAUAACUGUGGAAGUGCUCAAAGAAAACUAAGUUGAAGCGAGGCAGGCCAAGUCCCAGUGGGGACGUAGAGGCAUAAAGAAGAAGGAUGGCGCUAAGAUCAACUUCAAGUAAUGGCGCCAAGAUGGUCUUGCAGGGCAGAAAAGAGAUCGAUGCUCGUUACUUGAUCUCCUUUUAUAUCAUGGUGCCCCGGAAGGCGGUUGUACGCCAUUAUAACCUUUUUGUUGCAUUUUGAGCUUUUAUCGUUCUCCACGAACGAGAGUAACGGAUAGAAGUAACGUCUAAUGUACUUGAACGGCUGACAGACAGGUGGCGCAUAAUUUCCCUUUUCGUGAUGUGCAGGGCAUACACGAACAGGAUUGCUUAGAAACCCUUCAAUAGAUUUCCUAAGUUAUUCCGCCAUGGAUUCCUAUAGAAAACCUACAGAUUCCUUAAGAAAUCCCUCCAGGGAUUCCUUCAGAAAUUCCUAGGAGAAUUCCUUAAGGAAUUCUUCGAGGGAUUUUUUUAGAAAAUCUUCUAAACACUUCUUUAAAAAUUCAACUAAAGUGUCCUUCAAAAAGUCUUCUAUAGAUUUCUUUAGAAAGAAUAGAUGUCUCACUAUGCUUAGAAGAUCUUUCAUUGACUUCUUCCAAAAUUGUGCCAUGUUAUCUAAAAAUUGCUCUAUAAAAUUCUGCUAGAAUUUCUUUACAGGGAUGCUGGAAUUUUUUACAGGAAUUGCUUCAUAAAACCUUCUGAUGACUUUUUUCACAAAAUCCUUCAGAGAAUAAUUAAGAAGCUUUUUCAGGGAUUCCUUCGAAAAUUCUUCCAAGUAUUAAUUUAAAAAAAUCUUAAACGAAUUCUUACAGGCAUUUUUUCACGUACUACUCCAGAAAUUCCUGCAAGAAUUACUCCAUGAAUUCCAUUGGAAAUUGUUGCUGAAAUUUCUCCUGGAUUUUCAUCAGAUAUUCCUCCGGAUAUUUUUGCAUAAUUGCAUUCAGUGAUUCCAUUCCAGCAAAAAACUCAUAUAGAGAUUUCUUUAGGAUUUCAUUCUGGUAUGAAGAUAUGGAGUCUAUGGUUCGAGACGAAGACGAAUUUCUUACAUAUCUUCUGGAAAAUAUUUUGAUUAAACUUCAGAAAAAAACCUUUGGUAGAGUUAUUGGAAAAUUCUGAUAAAACCCAUUGCAUUAAUCACUGAAAAUUGAUAAAAUAGAUCGUUUGAGGAUACCUGAAAAUCUUUUUUUUUCCAAUUCGUUUAUUUAAGGCUCACUCGCCGUACUCAGCUUUACAGAGCCGACAAUCGCUUCCUUUUAAUAUGAACUAGCAGAUCCAACAUGGCUAGCCACGCUAAAAAAUGUUUUUUUUUUCGAUUCUUUUGACAAUUAUCUAGCUUCUUUAACGACUGUUGUAGAGUUCUUAUUCAUAGAAUGAAAGAAACUUCUAGAACAUUAAACAAGAUUGAUACAGCAAUGCAUUACUUUAUGAAUCAUUUGCUACUAAUACAAUGAUGCAACGAAUACACUAAUGCAACGAUAAAAAAAAAUGCACCAUUGCAACGACGUAACGAUUCAGCAAUGCAGCGAUGCACCAAUGCUACGAUACAGCAAAACACCAAUGCAACAAUUCAACGAUGAACCAGCGCAACUAUGCAAGUGGUAAAAUAUUUGGCGUCUGGGCAAAGAGUGUACGAGCACCUUUAUCCAAUAAAACGAGAUUUUGUUAUUUAUUUAAGGACUUAAUUGUGACAGUACAAUGAUAAUGAUACAUCUCUGGUGGUUAAUUCAGAGAUGAGUGUAGCAACGAUUGCGUUGUUGACAAGCACACAGGAUCGAGGCAUGACACGCGAGUUUGCCAUCUCAUUUAUAAGUACUGAAAGUAGCAAACACCGGGUUCAAAAGGUUUCCUUGAUAGAAAUUCUUUAUUAUAAUUAUAAUUAGUAGGAACAUGCAAAAAAUAUAGAAAUUUAUAACAAAUGAUAUGAUAAAGGUAUUAAUUAUCGAUUUAUGAACUAAUUCCACCCACAGAUACCCAACGGAUGACUACAAAGUUUAUACCGAACUUCUACGGAAGGAGUACGCCGCGAUGGAAGCGAGUUCCUAUAACAAAAUGAGGUUGAAGAUACUGCAAACGUUCAACCGAAUCCCGUUCAUCUACGCUACCACGGAAUUCGGUGAAAAAUUCGAGAAAACUGCCAGGGACAACAUUGGAACCGAAAUCAAGGAAUUGGAGAAUCAGUAAAACUAUUUAAACAUAUAGACACUAGGAAGUUACUCACGGAAUGUAAUAUUAUGCAUAGAUGAGCUCAUAAACAAAAUAAAUAUAAAUAAAUAAUCAAAGUAAGCCAACGCGUAAGCGACCUUCGCAUUAUUUUGAUUGAUCAAGUCAACGAGGACUUGAUUUCGAUCGAGCGCUGGGCUUCCGAAAACAAUCUAUUCCCGAAUCCGAAGAAAACCCAGGCCAUUGUGUUCAGCAGGACAGGGCGUGUCACUCCUGCUGUCGAUGUCAGUUUCUGUGGACAAACCAUCGAGAUAAGUGACAAAGUUGUCAAUCUUGGGCUGGUUAUGGACAACAAUCUACGAUGGACGGAGCAGGUCACCGAAACUACCAUGAAAGCGUACAGCAUCCUACGUACUUUCCGUCGUUUUACGCCAGUAUUGUCACCCCAGGUGCGACUCAAGCUGGUGCAAGCAGUGGUAAUGCCGGUUUUCACCUACGGCGACAUUGUCUACUAUCCUGGUCUAUCUGGUGCGCUGAAGGAGAGACUACAUCGUUGUUUCAAAUCGUCUAUUAGGUUCGUUUUCAAGAUGAGACGGUUUGACACUACGGCUCACGUGCGCAGGGCAAUACUUGGGCACGACCUGCCCGACAACUACAGACACCGGGUAUACUGCUUCUUCCGCCAA